rnacentral:rRNA from 1 species
UACGUAGGGUGCGAGCGUUAAUCGGAAUUACUGGGCGUAAAGCGUGCGCAGGCGGUUUUGUAAGCCGGAUGUGAAAUCCCCGGGCUUAACCUGGGAAUGGCAUUUGGGACUGCAAGGCUGGAGUGCGGCAGAGGAAACUGGAAUUCCUGGUGUAGCAGUGAAAUGCGUAGAUAUCAGGAGGAACACCGAUGGCGAAGGCAGGUCUCUGGGCUGACACUGACGCUCAUGCACGAAAGCGUGGGGAGCAAACAGG